AGAAAGCCAGGAGUGAUGUAGUCAUCAUAUUUAUUUUCCUACAAUGCUUCUGAAAUCCAUAAGGAGCUGGUAAUCUCAGACUACCCAUCUCCCUCAAAUAUGGACCAUGUGUGAGUUUAUAGCAGGAUUAAUGAUAUAGUCACAUAUUCUUUUGCAUACCAAAAGUUAUUCCUCCUAAAAAGGUAAGACCCAAAUCUAAGAAGUCAGUCUGGCCUUUCCUUUAUCAAGGUUGGAAAAGAUCAUGUCAAGCAAAACACUCACAUAAUAAACUAUAAAACUGAAAUAAAUAAAAUUCUCUUUAGCAGGCAGUGAUGCAUGCAGCAUCAGUUAAAUCCAAGAAUGAUAGCAUCUGUAAUUAAUAAAACUGCUCCAUUAUCUCUUAUCUAUUAUUUCUUCCACAAAGUAAAAUAUCUUUUUCUCCUUUAUUGGAAAGCUGUAGGUGUGCGAUACAGAGCUGCUAAUCACAAUUUAACUAUAUGAAACUGUUUAAAUUAUGCUUAAAUUUCCUAUAAAAUGUGAAUUAUCUAAUCCAUUAUAAAAAAAUA